rnacentral:lncRNA from 1 species
CUAUCCAAGACUUGGAUUCAGUGAAUUUCACGUCACUGGGCUCUCACCUGGCUCCUGGGCUUGGAAAUGACCAUUGGACUGCCUCCAUAGUCAGACUUUAAAGCUUCAAAUUGAGGUCUCUCUGCAGGAACAACAAGGCUUGAGACAUUGAAUCUCAGUAACAUCUCAACUGCCACGAAUCUCUAAAAAGUUAUCUAAUUCAUUGUCAACAGAAAUAUGACCAAAUCUCAGAUGAAAUGCAGGAGGUGCAUUUGAUGGAAGCUUC